rnacentral:tRNA from 1 species
GGACAUGUUAGAUCGGAAUCCCUCUAUCUCGCAUGAGAAAGAGGACGGGGGUUCGACUCCCUCCAUGUCCG